rnacentral:rRNA from 1 species
GGGCGAGGGUGCUUCGGUAACUGAGCUAGCGGCGGACGGGUGAGUAAUGCUUAGGAAUCUGCCUAUUACUGGGGGACAACAUCUCGAAAGGGAUGCUAAUACCGCAUACCUCCUACGAGCAGAAAGCAGGGGACCUUACGGGCCUUGCGCUAAUAGAUGAGCCUAAGUCGGAUUAGCUAGUUGGUGGGGUAAAGGCCUACCAAGGCGACGAUCUGUAGCGGGUCUGACAGGAUGAUCCGCCACACUGGGACUGAGACACGGCCCAGACUCCUACGGGAGGCAGCACUGGGGAAUAUUGGACAAUGGGGGGAACCCUGAUCCAUGCCAUGCCGCGUGUGUGAAGAAGGCCUUUUGGUUGUAAAGCACUUUAAGCGAGGAGGAGGCUACCGAGAUUAAUACUCUAGGAUAGUGCACGUUACUCGCAUAAUAAGCGCCGGCUAACUCUGUGCCAGCAGCCGCGGUAUACAGAAGGUGCCGCGUUAUCGGAUUUACUGGGCGUAAAGGCGCGUAGGUGGCCAUUAAGUCAAAUGUGAAUCCCCCAGCUUACUUGGGAAUUGCUUCGUUCUGGUUGGCUAGAGUUGGGAGAGAUGGUAGAAUCCAAGUGUACGGUGAGUGCGCCCGAUCUGGAGGAAUCCUUUGGCGAAUGCUGCAUCUCGACUAAUCUGACACUUAGGUGCAUAACAUGGGGAGCGAACAGGAUUAAUACCCUGGAGUCCAGCCGUAACAAUGUCUACUCCCGUUGGGCUUUGAGCUUUGUGGAGCACUAACGCAUAAGUAACCCCAGCCGAUACUGUUGCAGACUAAACUCAAUGAUUGACGGGA